rnacentral:lncRNA from 1 species
CAGAUUUGCUUUUGCACAGCCACAGCAUCACAGCACAGGUCAGCAAGCRACUGAUACUCAUCAGAUGCCAGUCCCUUACACAGAUAAACACGUCUGGAUGCAGUGUCAUAUUGCCACGCUUGGAGCUGCCUCUGGCAAGCUACUUUUUUCCUUAUUAAAAAGUUCAAACCCAUGUCAUCUUCUCCCCAAUUUUACCACAUGCCCUACAAAGUUUUUAAGCAUUUUGUUGUGAUGGUGCCACCUKCCUUGUAGUCCUCUCCUGCAUCGCAAAAAUGCCUGGAAGUAACAGCAAAAUGAACCACAUUCAUCACCCGUGAAUCUUCAGCCUGCCUUUUGAUAAUGACCAUAGACAGGUCUAUGACUCUUCUGCUGGUCUGCAACACAAAGUACAGCUGUCUGGUUUAUCUCUCAUUUACAAUUUAAUAUCAUCACAAUCCUGGCGAGCUGCCAGCAUCCUUUCCCCACUUCCUGCAGUUGUGCAAGCUGCUCCAAUCGGAGCCCAAAGACCUCCAUGCAAAGGCCGACUCGAAGCUCUUAAAUAGCCUGGAGGGGAGGAAGCAGCAGUUCUGGUCCAUGGAUUUGAGCCAUCAACAGAACAUCACCUGCCAGACCCUUCCAUCCUGUCCUGCACUUCACUCAGCAAUCAAGUCAUUUACAUCCGAAAGCUGCGUCCUUGAUCUCCGUGGCUACCAAACAGUUCAGUGCAAGGAAAUGCCUGGAAGGUGCCUGGUCUUUCCUCUGUGGACAAUCCUGCUGCCCUUGGGAAGUGCAUUUUCUAUGCACCUUUCAUACCUGGGAUCCUCUUUUAGCCUGGAGUCCUCCUCCCAUGAGAACACAACCCAGGUGCUUUUAUACUACCGAGGGAUUGCUUCUCCCUGUUCCAGUACCGAAGAUGGUAUUUGCAAGGCUGUAAACUGCACUUCCAGGCUCCCAGUGGCAGAACUGGAAAAAAACUCCACAGCUCCAUGUCAGCAGGAAGGAGAGGCCAAUCUCUCCUCUACCUCCUCCAAAACCUUCUACUUGAGGCUCUCCAACUGCUGCUGGUCCCAGGAGGUACUUCCUCCCCACAAGGAUAACACCACCGGCAUCCCAUUUAAGAUGGCAAUGACCUACACCCUGGGCACUCGGUCUGACACAGGACUGGGAAACUGCUCACCGCAGAUGCCGCUGCUGCCUGUGCUCAGAGUUCCCCAGAACUGCCCUACCACAUACAACUUGAGUGCCUGGGACAGAGAUGGGGACACCGUGAGGUGCCGCUACGUGCUUGGAGAGCAACUUGGCUGUGCUUUCUGCAGGAAAUAUCCCUUCCUCCUCCUCAAUGAGGAAGUGUGCACUCUAACAUAUGAUGGUACAGGCUUGGAAGGGACCUACCCCUUGGAACUGAUGGCUGAGGAUUUCCCAAGGCAAACAGUGACUCUGACAGCUGGGGCUUGGAUGCAGGAGAUCCAUCCAUACAGUGCUUCAAAUGCAGAAUGGAACCAGGCUCUGAGCUCUGUUCCUCUGCAGUUCACUUUAACAGUGGAAAAGCCAGUGGAGGACUGUUCUUUUGGGAUCAGAAGGCCUACAUUUCUCAGACCAACCCCAGACAACGGGGAAAGGAUCAGCCUCCUGCCAUAUGAAGAGGUUUCCUUUACAGUGGUAGCUGCCAACACAAGAGAAAGGAUGAGUGAUGUGCAGGUCCUGGGUCCCUCUGGGCUGCGCACAUGGGUGCUCACCAAGGAGAGUACCUGCGCUGCAUCUGUGAACAUCACAUGGGAAAACAGCAACGGCAGGAGGCCCUGCCAGGCUUCUGUGUGUUUCGUGGCCACCACGCUGACAGGGUUACAGUCUGAGCUCAGAUGCAUUUGGAUCAUGCAGGCUGCAGGCCACCCACAGGGCAAAGUUCUGCUGUGUCUCCAGGACCGAAUGCAGCUGUCUGUCCCCAGACUGAGCAUAGGAGACAUGCAGGAGGACAAUCUUCAGAGGAGCAACCCCGAGUGCCUAGUGAACAGCAAUAGCACGCACGUGCAGGUGGAGAUACCUCUUGAGAGGUGCGGCACCAGGAGGAAGGUACUGCCCUGAAGUUGCUGCAGUGAGCUGCAAAGGCCCAGGGUUGUAGCUGCCCAGAGGAAUCCAGCAAUAGUCCAAGCGGAUAGACCCACUGCACUG